AAUGAGCUGAGCUAAGAAAACCAAGCCCAUGCCCUGGGAAAUUCUUCCCGAAGCCAACUUGAUGUGGAAAAAUUUAAAACCAGCUAGAAAGCCAGAAAGGAAAUCAAAGUGGGCUAGAGAAACUGCCUUUAAAAUCGAUCAAAGUCAAGUUGUUGAUGCUGCUCUCCUCCUGGCUGAGCUCACAAAUUUCACACAUCAAUGAUUUAACAUCGAAGCGACAAAUACAAAAAAAUUGAAUUUCUCUAACGACAAAACAGCAGCGCAACAGAUUCGCCCCUCUGGCAAAAAUAAGAAAUCAUUGAAACAUGUCUAAAAAAAAAAAAAAAACGACGACUCUGGGCAGAAUAACACCAGUAUGAGAUGGGAUGGAAGAUGCCGAAAGGAUUCUGUACAGGACUCGCUCUAAACUGGGGC
ensembl:ncRNA lncRNA:CR44844 long non-coding RNA:CR44844